CGUGAUAUACCAGCGCCGGUGAUUGCGGUUGAGGGGUGCCAGAGCCGACGCGAGGGGAGAGCUGAGUCCAUAAAACGCCACCGCGACUAGCUGCACCUGCAGACGCGGCGAGCUGCGCCCAUGGAGCGAGGCCGUGGAGUGGUCGGCCUGCGGUGGAGGCUGUUUGCGUCCUCGGACCGAUGGCGCCGCGCGGAGGGGACACGCAGGGACCCGGUGAGAACGCGGUGCUGGAACCGACAUCGGGAUUUGCUUCAACCAGCGCGAGGAUUUGCUUCAACCGGCGAGGAUGGCGGUGGCGGCGAAAACGAUGGCCGUGCAGAGAGGAUAGUGUCGAGCGAUGACAGCGGCGGGUGCCAUGAUUUUUGUUGCACAGAUUUUUUGCUGGAACCAGCAUUUUGAGUUCCUGCAAUCGGCAAGGAUGGUGCUGGAGCGGAUACAACAGCGACACCAUGAAUUCUUUUGCUGCAUUGACCUUUUUUUCGAAGGAACCACAUUUCAUUUUUUUUGCUGGAACUAUAGCAAUUUUAUGUUGGAACGAUGUGUAUUUUUUGCUGGAACCAUACCAAUGUGUUUUGCCGUAAUCAUAGCAUUUUUGCUGCAUGCACAUUAUUGUUUGCUGAAGGCAAGUUAAUUAUUUGCUGAAAACAUGUGUUUUGCUUUUAAACUGGCGUAUUCUUUGUAUUUUGUGCUGCAAGACGAGCGGCGACGGCGAGCGACAAGCGCUGGGGAACUAGUGGAGCUUCAAGGACGGGGGAGCAUAAAUCGAUGGUGCUCAUUGUGUUUUUUGUUUUCUUGUGCGUGCUCAGAAGAAGGAGAGGGAAGGGAAAGGAAGAGGACGUGAGAUCUGACGGUUCGUGAAUUUCAAAUCGAAUGGCUAGCAGCGGACCUGCCGAAAGAUUUGGCCCGCGCGCCGGCGGCUAGCGUUGUUGUACAUGCACAACCAUGAGCUCCACGGAGCUAUAGCUAUCGAGGUAGCUGUACUCGUUGGCAUCGCGCGUGUGGCUGUCUGCUGUUGGCACUGGCCCGGACCGCCGGUCACUUUUUUCUGGCGAUCUGGCACGUGCACAGGCUGGCUGGGCGCCGAUCGAUGCUUUCCGCCGGCAACAGACAUGCACGUCGAGGCUGGCUUGGGAAGCAGGCUCCUGGCCUAUCCAGCGUGGGGGCAUGCAUAUGUGGCCAUGGCCCCGUAAAUCUCUACUAUCUGAAAAUAAUGUAAGGUUUCUUUUCUUGCCACAGGACAGCAUCUUACCCAAGAAUUCGUCCGCCUCCUUCCUCCAACCUAGCAAACGCAUGAAAACAAACCCCACAAAACUGACGCCCGUUCCCCCUGGUCCAGUGCAGUGUCAAUCAGGCUACAGAACUUGUAGUUGCAUGUGUAUGCAAUUGGAGAAAGUGGGAGGAAACGUCCUGUCGACAAUGAGGCGCCUAUAGCAUCAAUCUUAAGAUGAAUGUCGGUUCAGUGUCUUAAAGGUGCUUGUAGGGGUAUGGUGUGCGUUUAUAGGGGUGAGUAUAUGUGCGAAUAUGUGAGUGCUUGCAUCUGUACCAUGUUCAAAAAUAUAUAAUUUUGUA